rnacentral:rRNA from 1 species
UACAGAGGGGGCAAGCGUUGUUCGGAAUCACUGGGCGUAAAGCGCACGUAGGCGGAUGUGUCAGUCAGGGGUGAAAUCCCGGAGCUCAACUUCGGAACUGCCUUUGAUACAGCACGUCUUGAGUCCGAUAGAGGUGGGUGGAAUUCCUGGUGUAGCGGUGGAAUGCGCAGAUAUCAGGAGGAACACCAAUAGCGAAGGCAGCUCGCUGGGACGGUACUGACGCUGAGGCGCGAAAGCGUGGGGAGCGAACAGG